UGGGGAAUAUUGCACAAUGGGCGAAAGCCUGAUGCAGCAACGCCGCGUGAGUGAUGAAGGCCUUCGGGUUGUAAAGCUCUGUCUUUUGGGACGAUAAUGACGGUACCAAAGGAGGAAGCCACGGCUAACUACGUGCCAGCAGCCGCGGUAAUACGUAGGUGGCAAGCGUUGUCCGGAUUUACUGGGCGUAAAGGAUACGUAGGCGGAUUUUUAAGUGAGAUGUGAAAACCCUAAGCUUAACUUGGGGACUGCAUUUCAUACUGGAAAUCUAGAGUGCGGGAGAGGAGAAUGGAAUUCCUAGUGUAGCGGUGAAAUGCGUAGAGAUUAGGAAGAACACCAGUGGCGAAGGCGAUUCUCUGGACCGUAACUGACGCUGAGGCAUGAAAGCGUGGGUAGCAAACAGGAUUAGAUACCCUGGUAGUCCACGCCGUAAACGAUGAGUACUAGGUGUAGGAGGUAUCGACCCCUUCUGUGCCGCAGUUAACACAAUAAGUACUCCGCCUGGGAAGUACGAUCGCAAGAUUAAAACUUAAAGGAAUUGACGGGGGUCAUAGCUGUUUCCU
rnacentral:rRNA from 1 species